GUCUCUAUGGCGCAAUUGGCUAACGCGUUCGGCUGUUAACCGAAAGGUUGGUGGUUCGAGCCCACCUAGGGACG
rnacentral:tRNA from 13 species